rnacentral:lncRNA from 1 species
GUCCGUCGGCACCGUGCAUCACAACCUCUGACCUCUGGAGGCAGGUUCCUUGGCUGGAGCCCAGGUGGACUCACCUGGGGCCCACCCACCUGGGGGUGCCAGGUCACGUGUCACAGUCACCAGUGUCAGCUCUGGGGGUUCCGCACAAACACUGGUAGGGUGGCUGCUGAUCCCGCCUGUCUGAAACACUUCAGGGGACAUGUGUUUAGGAUUCAAAAGAAAAGAAAGAUUCACACUGGAGUCAAGCAAGCGCUGGGGGUGGUCGGGAGCAUAGGAGGGUGUGAGGCCACAGCUUGGAGAAUCUGUUCAAAGCAUCGUCAAUUGAAAUCGCCCUGGAAUCACCUGCGACUAAACAAGGGAAAUGAGUAUAAAGUGUGAUAAACUCACAGUCUUACUGAGAGAAAAGAACAAAACAAAACACACAGCAUCCACUCUGAGAUGACCUCUACAUGGGCAAGGAUCCUGUAGAGAGGUAAGUAGGCAGCUUCCACACCUUCUGCCCAAAUCACAACAUUACAGAAAGCCAGAGCUGAAUGUUGGGCUAUGCCUGUUUCUUUACUGCAGGGCUUCUUAGAGACUUUAAUCAUCUAAUGCCCAGGGCAGCUCUUCUCUUCAUGGAGGGUGUCUUAGUCCAUUUAGUGUUGCUAUAAAGAAAUACCUGAGGCUGCAUGAUUUAUAACGAAAAGGAGUUUAUUUGCCUCUGCAGUUCUGCAGGCUGUACAGGAAGCAUGGCACUGGCAUAUGCUUCAGGCUGCUUCUACUCAUGAUGGAAAGCAAGGGGGACAGGCACAGUGGCUCACUCCAGUAACCCCAGCACUUUGGGAGGCCAAGGUGGGUGAAUUACUUGAGCCCAGGAAUUUGAGACCAGCCUGGGCAACAAAGGGAAACCCCAUCUGUUUAAAAAAAAAAAAAAAGAAAUAAAAGAAAAAAAGAAAGUGAAGAGGAGCCUGUGUGUGAAGAGAACACGUGGUGAGAGAGGAAGCAGAAGAGAGAGGGGGAGGUGCCAGGCUCUUUCUAAACACCAGCUCUCUUGGGAACCAACAGAGUGAGAACUCACCCCUGAGGGAGGCCAUUAAUCUAUCUAUGAGGGAUCCACUGCCAUGACCCAAACAUCUUCCAUUAGGUUCCACCUCCAACAUUUGGAUCAAAUUUCAACAUGAGAUUUGGAGAGGACAAUUAUCCAAACCAGAGCAAAGGGACAGAGUGCACUUGGUUUCUCACACUACUUUCGCCAUAGAAUCUCUUGUUAGUAGAACUUCUGUGAACACCAUCUGGGUAAUGCUGCACCACAUCAUGACCUGCCCUUCAUGAAAUUCAGCUCUGCAAACACUGUGUCACCAUCUCUUCAUUAUGCCGAAGGAGAUGUUCUAGGUUGUAGGAAGGGCCACCAAGAAUGAGGGACAGUUUCUGCCCU